rnacentral:rRNA from 1 species
AUUGAACGCUGGCGGCAGGCUUAACACAUGCAAGUCGAGCGGUAGCACAGGGGAGCUUGCUCCCUGGGUGACGAGCGGCGGACGGGUGAGUAAUGUCUGGGAAACUGCCUGAUGGAGGGGGAUAACUACUGGAAACGGUAGCUAAUACCGCAUAACGUCGCAAGACCAAAGAGGGGGACCUUCGUGCCUCUUGCCAUCAGAUGUGCCCAGAUGGGAUUAGCUAGUAGGUGGGGUAAUGGCUCACCUAGGCGACGAUCCCUAGCUGGUCUGAGAGGAUGACCAGCCACACUGGAACUGAGACACGGUCCAGACUCCUACGGGAGGCAGCAGUGGGGAAUAUUGCACAAUGGGCGCAAGCCUGAUGCAGCCAUGCCGCGUGUGUGAAGAAGGCCUUCGGGUUGUAAAGCACUUUCAGCGAGGAGGAAGGUGGUGAGCUUAAUACGUUCAUCAAUUGACGUUACUCGCAGAAGAAGCACCGGCUAACUCCGUG